CAGGGUUUCACCAUGUUGCCCAGGCUAGUCUGGAACUCCUAGCCUCAGGUGAUCCACCCACCUCGGCCUCCCAAAGUGUUGGGAUUACACAUGUGAACCACUGCGCUGGGCCUUAUUAGUUUUCUUGAACAAUUUGGGGAUGAAUAAUUACCUAGCUUUUCCUUUUUAGUUAUUUGCUAGAUGUAAAUAAGGGUUAAUGCAGGUUUUUCUCAGCAUGGCCAUCAUACAAUUUUGGGAAUCCGCUAAGAAAUGCAAUUGCAAAUUUUCAAAAAGUGAAAGGAACUUGGAUCCCUAAAUCAAUACUUGGAGGAGAGCUGCCUACUAAUCAGGAACUCCCAUUUUGGGGUUUAAGUCAUUGUUCUAUGUAGGUUUAAUUUUGUAACAGCUGGGAUUAUUGUAUUUAAUUUCUGCACCAUAGACCACUUUUCUUCUAGGGUUUUUUUUUCUUUUUUUCUUUCUCUUUGUUUUGGUCUCUAACAUUUAUGUUAAAGGAUCUACUCAAAUAUCUGGUUAUACUUGAUUGUCUGCUCGUGUUUAAAAGUGGGGGUCUAAAUAGCUGAUCUGUAGUCUCAGCAUAUGAGUGGAGCUGAUUGAACAUGAGCUUUACUUUAGGGUGCUCUGCUUGGGCCCACGUCAGUAUGUUUAAGGCUUUUCUUUUGGAUUGGUCAGAUGCCCCAAAGAAGGCUCUUUCAUCUCUGAUCUGAAGGUAAAGGUCUGACUGCCAGUGUUCUGUGUGUUGAGUGGAGAAAUUUGGCUGGAGGGUCUCAGAAUUUACGACGUACAGGAUUACAAAAUCCCCGUGUGUCUGUAUGAUACUCAUCCUUCAGUUAGGCCUGGUAUCCUCUAGAGUAGACCAGACCCCCUCUAUCUUGCCCUCUCUGUAGUAUGAACCUCUUGUUUUCACCAGAGUGGGAGGACAGUCACCCAGUGGGGUGAAGCAGAGAAGAGGAUCUAGGAUCUGUUUCCUCAGAAGCUUUCAACAAAUCCUGUUGUCUGUCCCAUUUUCAGAGGUACCUGGUGCCAGUUCCUGAGACUUGAGGAUUCUGGUUGGUUCUCAGCACAGGAGUCAGCCUGCUCUGAUUUGCUAGUGAUGUCCUAACCAAUCUCCCUGAAAAAUUAUCUGUGAAAUUUAUUUCUAUACAUCCAACAAGCACAAUGAACUCUAGGUAGAAUAAAUUCAGUGAGGUCCACAUCAAGAACAUUGUAAUCAAACUGUUGAAUGUCAAAGACAGAGAAUCUUGAAAGCAACAAGAAAGAAUCAACUAUCAUGUACAAGGGAACCUUAGUAAGAUGAACAGUUGGCUAUUUAUCAGGAACUAUGGAAGCCAGAAAACAGUGGGCAUAUUUAAAGUGCUGAAAGAAAAGAACCUAUCAACCAAGAAUUCUGUAUCUGGCAAAAUUGCCCUUCAAAAGUGAGGAAGAAAUUGAGAUAUUCCCAAUAAACAAAAGCUGAGGGGUUCACUACAAGUAGACCUGCCCUGCAAGAAAUGCUACAAGAUGUCCUCAAGUUGAAAUGAAAGGACACUAAAUGGUAACUUGAAGCUGUAUGAAGAAAUAAAGGUCUACAGUAAAGUGCGUCUAGAGUGUUGACAGUUGUUUCCAUGGACUUCAAAUCAACCCAACCCUGUGAGCACAGACUUUCAGCACCAGAGUCAGAUUUCCCAAAAAUGCUAUUCUUGAAGCGUAGAGCCAGACUCACAGAUCCUGUAAAGAAAACAGAUCUUUCAGCAAGUGAAACACCCAAUCUUCCAUUGCAUGGGACUCACAGAGGUUCUGAGGGAGAGAUGUGAAUAGAAGGAGUGAUCAUCACUGUGGACUCUAUUUCUUCCAUCUGUGCGUGCAAGAUUUAUAUCUGUAUGUGUUUGUUUUAAAGUUUUAUUGAGGUAUAAUUGAUACACAAUAAUCUGUACCUAUUUAAUGUAUACAAUUUGAUGAGUUUGGACAUACUUAAAUACCUGUGAAACCAUCACCACAAUCAAGGUAAUAGACAUAGCCAUCACCUCCAAAAGUUUCUUUGUGUCCCUUUGUGGUUUGUUUCUGAGAUAAGAACACUUAACAUGUGGACUCUUGACACUCUCCUUGGAUCUCUUAAUUUGAUUGCUGUUGCUGUCACCACAUUGACUUCCUAGCCCUGCUGAUCCUCCUUUAUCACUAGCUCUAGAAAAAAAAACAAACCAAACACCACUAAUUCAUUUAUUCAGUAAUUCAACAAAAAAACCAUUGAGCACUUAAUAUUUGCAGAAUACAUGGCUAGAUGCAGAG
rnacentral:lncRNA from 10 species